CAGUAGCCGCGGUAAUACGGAGGGUGCAAGCGUUAAUCGGAAUUACUGGGCGUAAAGCGCACGCAGGCGGUCUGACAAGUCAGAUGUGAAAUCCCCGGGCUUAACCUGGGAACUGCAUUUGAAACUGUCAGGCUGGAGUCUUGUAGAGGGGGGUGGAAUUCCAGGUGUGGCGGUGAAAUGCGUAGAGAUCUGGAGGAAUACCGGUGGCGAAGGCGGCCCCCUGGACAAAGACUGACGCUCAGGUGCGAAAGCGUGGGGAGCAAACAGGAUUAGAUACCCCUGUAGUCCCUGUCUCUUAUAC
rnacentral:rRNA from 1 species